GACGAACGCUGGCGGCGUGCUUAACACAUGCAAGUCGAACGCUGAAGCUCAGCUUUUGUUGGGUGGAUGAGUGGCGAACGGGUGAGUAACACGUGAGUAACCUGCCUCCUUCUUUGGGAUAACGCCCGGAAACGGGUGCUAAUACUGGAUAUUCACUGGUCUUCGCAUGGGGGUUGGUGGAAAGGGUUUUUCUGGUGGGGGAUGGGCUCGCGGCCUAUCAGCUUGUUGGUGGGGUGAUGGCCUACCAAGGCUUUGACGGGUAGCCGGCCUGAGAGGGUGAACGGUCACAUUGGGACUGAGAUACGGCCCAGACUCCUACGGGAGGCAGCAGUGGGGAAUAUCGCACAAUGGGCGCAAGCCUGAUGCAGCGACGCCGCGUGAGGGAUGGAGGCCUUCGGGUUGUGAACCUCUUUCGCUCAUGGUCAAGCCGCAACAAUGGUUGUGGUGAGGGUAGUGGGUAAAGAAGCGCCGGCUAACUACGUG
rnacentral:rRNA from 1 species